GGCCUGAUGGUCUAGUAGUAUGAUUCCUUGUUAGGGCUAGAAAGCAAUCUCGAGGAGGUCCCGGGUUCAAUUCCCGGUCAGGCCC
rnacentral:tRNA from 1 species